rnacentral:lncRNA from 1 species
UCAUCAGAUUCCCAACCUUCGCUGGCCCGAGGCCCAAAGCGCUGAGCCUCAUCGUUCCCUGGGCAACGUCAUAGCUGGUGCUCAGCACGAAGUGGAACCACAGCAGUGACUUCUGCUGCGAGGAGUAAAAUUAGGCAGUUUCACAGGCAACAUGCAUGAUCUUGUUCAUCUGCAAGGUUCACAGACAGGAUGUAACCUUAUGUAAGAUGGAAACCUGUGAAGAAAGAUACAGAUAGCAGUUGGAGUUAAAAGUAGCAGACGAAUAUUUCUCUUCUUAAGUGGCAAGGAGUGAAUGUGAUGGAUUUAUCUUCAGAAAUGAACAAACAUGGAAGGAAUCCAGUAAGUCACAAGCUAGAAGAUCAGAAGAAGAUUCGCUUACAGAGACGGACUCUUCAGAUUGCCUAGGAGGAGAGAGGUUGUUCCAAAAAGGAUCUGUUGUACCUCAAGGUCAA